UCCCCCGAACACUGAGUGAGUUAACGUUCCUCGCUGUAAUAAUCUAAAUGCUAGCAGCGGGACGAUUCAAACGUGGUGGUGGUGCUGAGGAGGCGGGACCUUUACAGGAUCGUCCUACCAGAGCACAUCGUUCUUCUGCUGCCUUUUAUUUUGGCGCUUUCUGUUGACGUCACAUCCUGCUUUGAGUAUUAACCAAUCAGCACCGAGUCGACCUGAAACCCCACCCAGGUGACUUCGGGUGUCUCCAGGUGACUCCGGGUGACUCCGGGUGUCUCAGGUCAUCAGGCUGCAGGGUUUCGGUGGUUCUGUCGUCCGUCUGAGCCUCGGCGUCCGUACCGCUGUAUUUAUUUAUAAAUAAAAAGAGACUUCCUGUCAUCUGCGGAGGUAAAGAUGUCUGCCUCUGUGUCGGCCAUUUUGUCUGCAGUUUGGUGCUUUUGGGCCUGUUUCUGUCAGGUUAGCAUCGUUAGCAUCGUUAGCUGUCUCCACGGAGACUGAAGCCGCUGGAUGUUAACCUGUUAGCCGGUUAGCUUCCUGCUGCUUCUGUCACUUUAAUCUCAUUUUCAUGAUUUUCAUGAAACGUUUCAGAAAUAUUAAAAACUCUUUUUCUGGGUGAAUUUUUCUGAAUAAUUUUGUAAUAAAACUGAUUUUCUCUGA